rnacentral:rRNA from 1 species
UACGUAGGUGACAAGCGUUGUCCGGAUUACUGGGCGUAAAGAGCGCGCAGGCGGUCGUUCAAGUCGAGUGUGAAAGCCCCCGGCUCAACUGGGGAGGGUCACUCGAUACUGAUCGACUCGAAGGCAGGAGAGGGUAGUGGAAUUCCCGGUGUAGUGGUGAAAUGCGUAGAUAUUGGGAAGAACACCAGUGGCGAAGGCGGCUAACUGGUCCGAUACUGACGCUGAGGUGCGAAAGCGUGGGAGCAAACAGG